rnacentral:lncRNA from 8 species
AUGAUUUUUUGGUUUAACAUUUGGCUACAAAGGUGGAGGUAGAAACCCAAUGUUAUGCAUGUCUCCAGCAAGUGAAGGUCUCUAAAGUGACUUCCAAUAUCGAUGGGAAUGUGUUGGGAAUAUGUUGUUUUCUUGGUUUUCAGUUUUUCUAGCUGAUGUUUAACGAUGUAAGUUGUCCUCCGACCAAGUGACUGGCGAAAAAAACGUUCAGUCUUUGAAGAUUUAUUUCCAAACGUUGUGCGCUUGAGCACAGUCCUUAGAAAUCACACCUCACGAACAACGCCGAGCAACCGCUUCAUCAAGGCUUGGAAUUGACUCUUAAGGACCGCUUGAGUGCUCAAAGUUUCUUUCUUUAAAAAUGUUUAGCUAACGUUAGCUACCGUUACUUUUAUUUUGGUGUUCUGCAAUAGCUCUAAUUUGCCAAUGUCGAGGUAUAAACGGUACCUCUGGGACCAUAGUGUCUAAGUCAACUAUAAGAUAUCGAUGAAGCGAUGUAAAUAACGUUAGCUAGUUAGCUUGCCUAACCUUAGCCUCUAAUAUCUCUGAAUAAAAUUAUUAUUUGUUGUAGAAGAACUGCACGGAUGCUCAAUUGAACUUGGACCAGUAUGAUGUGGAUGAAAAUAGCCAGGAAACAUUAGACCCACUAGGUUUGCACAGGUUUGCUAGCAGUGCUGAAACAUUAUACCCACUAGGUUUGCACAGGUUUGUUAGCAGUCCUCUACUUUGUUUCAGGGGAACCUUGUGAAUGCCCAACUAAACUUGGACCAUGAUGAAGGAAUAAAACGUGAGAAGCAGGGGAACAUCAGGAAUACUGGACUAGACUAGGACCACGAUGAAGACAUGGAUGAUGAUGGCCAGGCAACAUUUGAAGAUGAAGACCCCUCAGACGAAAGAGAGCAAGAGGCAUAUGGAAGACCGCUCUUUGACAGAUCAAGCCUUACUGUUGGUGGUGCUAUUGUUCUCAUCAUGUGUUUUGUUGUAUGAUUCAAUCUGGCAUGGCUUGCUCUGCAAGGGCUACUUACGUUGCUCUCUGCAUUGAAGCCAAACUCUAAUCUGCUUACCACAAAGUACCUGUUCAUAAGUUUUCAAAGUAUGUAAGGCUAUAGUGGAGUUUCAUUUUGUUUGCCCUGAAUGUUCUACACACAUAGGUCCUAACUCUAAUGCUAUGUGCAGUUCUUGCCAUACAGAGACAAGGUCGAACACACUAUAAAAAAGUUUUUUCAUUGUAAUUCUAAUGAAGCAGCAACUACGUGACAUGUUUGAGAAUAGCAAUCUGUUGGAUCUUAUCACAUAAUCUGAGGAAAACAUUGAAGGCAAUUAUGAUGUUAAACAAUACAAAACUAUUGAAGCAUUAUCUGAUGUAAACUAUAUUUCAUUGACAUGGAAUUCUGAUGGUGCAUCAGUUUUCAAAUCGCCAAGAUGUCCAUAUGGCCUAUACACUUUGUUAUUAAUGAGUUGCCCUUUAAGAU